rnacentral:ncRNA from 1 species
GACGGAACCCCGACCGGGUUCGCGGACGAGGGAGCAGUACCCGCACCACGACAAGACUGACUCACG